GGUUUUGGAAGGAAGCCCUUCUCCUCUUGUAUCUCAAUAUCAGACCAUCGGAGCAUGGGACAAGGUACUCAGGCCCCCGUCCCUGGAGUCUUGACCAGUGCACACAGCUGCCUGCCCUUUUGCCUUGUGUCCAUCCGGGAGCGGCCUUCUGCCAGCUUUUAUGUUGCCUGUCCUCGGUCCACUUGAAUCUCUUGAGAGAGCUGAAUCCUGUGUGUGCCUAGGCCCUGCCACAGGGCCCUGGCUGGCCUGCCUGUUGAAGCGAGGUUGUGGAUGUCCCUGACCUCCAGUGGUCCCUGCUCCUGGUGAUGUGGGGCAGCAUCCACCUGCAUGCACUUCACCUUGGAGGCCAAGGUUUUGGAAGGAAGCCCUUCUCCUCUCCUAUCUCAAUAUCAGACCAUCGGAGCAUGGGACACGAAGCUCAGGCCCCCCACCCUGGAGUCGUGACCAGUGUACACAGCUGCCUGCCCUUUUCCCUUGUGUCCAUCCGGGAGCGGCUUUCUGCCAGCUUCUAUGUUGCCUGUCCUCGGUCCGCUUGAAUCUCUUGAGAGAGCUGAGUCCUGUGUGUACCUAGGCCCUGCCAGAGGUAGGUGGGUGUCCACAGAGGAUACAGAGAUUUCCUUGCCUUACAAGUUUUGGGGAUGUUAGAGAACAGAA